rnacentral:rRNA from 1 species
AACGAACGCUGGCGGCAUGCCUAACACAUGCAAGUCGAACGAGACCUCCGGGUCUAGUGGCGCACGGGUGCGUAACGCGUGGGAACCUGCCCUUAGGUUUGGAAUACCUCCCCGAAAGGGGUGCUAAUACAGGAUAAUUUCUUCGGACAAAAGAUUUAUCGCCUUUGGAUGGGCACGCGUUGGUUUAGCUUGUUGGUAGGGUAAAAGCCUAUUAAGGCGACGAUACAUAGCUGGUCUGAGAGAAUGCUCAGCCACACUGGGAGUGAGACACGGCGGAGACUCCUACGGGAGGGGGCAGUGGGGAAUAUUGGACAAUGGGCGAGAGCCUGAUGGAGCAAGGGUGCGUGAGUGAUGAAGUCCUGAGGGAAGUAAAGCUCUUUUACCCGGGAUGAUAAUGACAGUACCGGGAGAAUAAGCACCGGCUAACUUCGUG